UACGUAGGUCCCGAGCGUUGUCCGGAUUUAUUGGGCGUAAAGCGAGCGCAGGUGGUUUAUUAAGUCUGGUGUAAAAGGCAGUGGCUCAACCAUUGUAUGCAUUGGAAACUGGUAGACUUGAGUGCAGGAGAGGAGAGUGGAAUUCCAUGUGUAGCGGUGAGAUGCGUAGAUAUAUGGAGGAGCACCGGUGGCGAAAGCGGCUCUCUGGCCUGUAACUGACACUGAGGCUCGAAAGCGUGGGGAGCAAACAGG
rnacentral:rRNA from 1 species